rnacentral:rRNA from 1 species
UUGAAGAGUUUGAUCAUGGCUCAGAUUGAACGCUGGCGGCAGGCCUAACACAUGCAAGUCGAACGGUAACAGGAAGAAGCUUGCUUCUUUGCUGACGAGUGGCGGACGGGUGAGUAAUGUCUGGGAAACUGCCUGAUGGAGGGGGGAUAACUACUGGAAACGGUAGCUAAUACCGCAUAACGUCGCAAGACCAAAGAGGGGGACCUUCGGGCCUCUUGCCAUCGGAUGUGCCCAGAUGGGAUUAGCUAGUAGGUGGGGUAACGGCUCACCUAGGCGACGAUCCCCUAGCUGGUCUGAGAGGAUGGCCAGCCACACUGGAACUGAGACACGGUCCAGACUCCUACGGGAGGCAGCAGUGGGGAAUAUUGCACAAUGGGCGCAAGCCUGAUGCAGCCAUGCCGCGUGUAUGAAGAAGGCCUUCGGGUUGUAAAGUACUUUCAGCGGGGAGGAAGGGAGUAAAGUUAAUACCUUUGCUCAUUGACGUUACCCGCAGAAGAAGCACCGGCUAACUCCGUGCCAGCAGCCGCGGUAAUACGGAGGUGCAAGCGUUAAUCGGAAUUACUGGGCGUAAAGCGCACGCAGGCGGUUUGUUAAGUCAGAUGUGAAAUCCCGGGCUCAACGGGAACUGCAUCUGAUACUGGCAAGCUUGAGUCUCGUAGAGGGGUAGAAUUCCAGGUGUAGCGGUGAAAUGCGUAGAGAUCUGGAGGAAUACCGGUGGCGAAGGCGGCCCCCUGGACGAAGACUGACGCUCAGGUGCGAAAGCGUGGGGAGCAAACAGGAUUAGAUACCCUGGUAGUCCACGCCGUAAACGAUGUCGACUUGGAGGUUGUGCCCUUGAGGCGUGGCUUCCGGAGCUAACGCGUUAAGUCGACCGCCUGGGGAGUACGGCCGCAAGGUUAAAACUCAAAUGAAUUGACGGGGGCCCGCACAAGCGGUGGAGCAUGUGGUUUAAUUCGAUGCAACGCGAAGAACCUUACCUGGUCUUGACAUCCACAGAACUUUCCAGAGAUGGAUUGGUGCCUUCGGGAACUGUGAGACAGGUGCUGCAUGGCUGUCGUCAGCUCGUGUUGUGAAAUGUUGGGUUAAGUCCCGCAACGAGCGCAACCCUUAUCCUUUGUUGCCAGCGGUCCGGCCGGGAACUCAAAGGAGACUGCCAGUGAUAAACUGGAGGAAGGUGGGGAUGACGUCAAGUCAUCAUGGCCCUUACGACCAGGGCUACACACGUGCUACAAUGGCGCAUACAAAGAGAAGCGACCUCGCGAGAGCAAGCGGACCUCAUAAAGUGCGUCGUAGUCCGGAUUGGAGUCUGCAACUCGACUCCAUGAAGUCGGAAUCGCUAGUAAUCGUGGAUCAGAAUGCCACGGUGAAUACGUUCCCGGGCCUUGUACACACCGCCCGUCACACCAUGGGAGUGGGUUGCAAAAGAAGUAGGUAGCUUAACCUUCGGGAGGGCGCUUACCACUUUGUGAUUCAUGACUGGGGUGAAGUCGUAACAAGGUAACCGUAGGGGAACCUGCGGUUGGAUCACCUCCUU